rnacentral:rRNA from 1 species
GCUUGCUUUCUUUGCUGGCGACCGGCGCACGGGUGAGUAACACGUAUCCACCUACCCUUUACUCGGGGAUAGCCUUUCGAAAGAAAGAUUAAUACCCGAUAGCAUAAUGAUUCCGCAUGGUUUCAUUAUUAAAGGAUUCCGGUAAAGGAUGGGGAUGCGUUCCAUUAGGUUGUUGGUGGGGUAACGGCCCACCAAGCCUUCGAUGGAUAGGGGUUCUGAGAGGAAGGUCCCUCACAUUGGAACUGAGACACGGUCCAAACUCCUACGGGAGGCAGCAUG